rnacentral:rRNA from 1 species
CCUACGGGUGGCAGCAGUGAGGAAUAUUGGUCAAUGGACGAGAGUCUGAACCAGCCAAGUAGCGUGAAGGAUGACUACCCUAUGGGUUGUAAACUUCUUUUAUAUGGGAAUAAAAUGUUCCACGUGUGGGAUUUUGUAUGUACCAUAUGAAUAAGGAUCGGCUAACUCCGUGCCAGCAGCCGCGGUAAUACGGAGGAUCCGAGCGUUAUCCGGAUUUAUUGGGUUUAAAGGGAGCGUAGGUGGCUUGUUAAGUCAGUUGUGAAAGUUUGCGGCUCAACCGUAAAAUUGCAGUUGAAACUGGCAGUCUUGAGUACAGUAGAGGUGGGCGGAAUUCGUGGUGUAGCGGUGAAAUGCUUAGAUAUCACGAAGAACUCCGAUUGCGAAGGCAGUUCACUGGACUGCAACUGACACUGAGGCUCGAAAGUGUGGGUAUCAAACAGGAUUAGAUACCCGAGUAGUC